UACGGAGGGUGCAAGCGUUAAUCGGAAUUACUGGGCGUAAAGCGCACGCAGGUGGCUGAGUAAGUCGAUUGUGAAAUCCCUCGGCCUAACCGAGGAACUGCCUUUGAUACUGCAUGGCUCGAGGCCGGGAGAGGGUAGCGGAAUUCCCAGUGUAGCGGUGAAAUGCGUAGAUAUUGGGAGGAACACCAGUGGCGAAGGCGGCUACCUGGACCGGUUCUGACGCUGAUGCGCGAAAGCGUGGGGAGCAAACAGG
rnacentral:rRNA from 1 species